AAAGAACCCAGGGCCUUGUGCAUGCUAGAUGGACUUAACUAAGGAACAGAUGAAUAUAAUGGCAAUGAUAAAUACAAAUAAAUCAAGAAUAUCGUGCUCGAACACGCAGAGAUCCUGGUUCAAUGCCUUUUAGUGGUAUGUGGGAGCUGAGCAGAAACCAUUCGUCUGUG